GGGUAGAGUAUAGAAUGGAGAAAAUAGAGAGACAGGUACAGAAAGAGGGAGAGGGAGAGAGAUGGAUUUUCAUGAGGCAGUAAUCUAAAUAUAGAGGAUUUAUUUAAAUAAUAUAGAAUUGUUAUUAACAAAAUAUUUUUUCUUUUCGAUUUUUCUAGCACAGAAUUCUGUUGCUGAGAGCAAAAAUGCAAAUUUAUUGGACGCAGAAAUAAAUCAUGCAUCAAGACUCAUGAUGGUCUUCAGAGAUUAAGGCGAUUCUUCAGCUAAGAGGGCAGGAGGGAAUCAUCCACGCUAAAGUAAAUAACGCAGGAUAGUAUUAAGUAUAUUAUUCAUAUAAUUUAAGUGCUAUGUAUAUGUGUACAAAUAAAUGUAGAUUUAAAUCAGCAAAAACUAUGUAAAUUUGAAAAGCAAUAAAUCAAUUUGGUCAUUAAA